GCCAUUGUUGCUCAGUGGUUGAGCAUCAACCUAUGAACCAGGAGGUCACGGGUUCGAUUCCCGCUCAGGGCA
rfam:Myotis brandtii contig230892, whole genome shotgun sequence.